CCCUGGCAGUCUAGGAUAGUGUGCACGGACAGUCCGGCACAACUUUCGGUAUGUUCAUACUCUCAAUUCUGGAAAUUUCCUGAUUUAGGGAGGCUCAAAUAUACUCCUUUCAAAUGUCUCCCCUCAUUGCCUUAUACUAAAGAGUCUUAACCAAAUCUACAUUUCUCAGUGGCCUUCUAAAUGUCAUGUAAAAAAGGCCAUGGAAGUUUACUUAAUAUAUUUCUAUUAAGAAAAAAAAUCUUUAUUUUUCCCAAUUUUUAGCAUGCAUUAAAAAAACCAAUAAAUUUGAGUCCCAAAUUUUCUCUGUCCCUCCCUCAUUUGCUUCCUCCCUGAGAUGUGUUCAAUACAUUUAUUAGACAAUUUGAUAAUUAAUAGUCUUUUAUAGAGAAUUGGAUCUAUCAUAAUCGGUUGCUUUGUAGUACACAAUCAUGGCCCCCAUAUAAAAUUAUACAAAUUCAACAAGUACACAACAUUUUGCCAAAUUAUUAUAAACAAUCACUUGCCUAUUCCUUAUAAGAGCUUAUCUGAACCCAAAACCAUUAGAACAAAAUUAAAAUUAAAAUGCAAUUUUAAAAAUAAAAUAAUAAAAAAUUAAAGAAAAAAAAAUCUUCCCCUCUCUUUCACUCCCCUCCUCUUCUUCUCCCAGAAGUCUAUUUGCAAAUAAGCACCCAGAACACAUUGAUCUUUCCACAUAGAGGAUGAAGAUUUGGGGGUCCAUUGGGAAUGGCCCUUCCAGAUUCAGGUUCCUAAUUGGAGGCCCAAAAUAAGUCAGAGAAAGGACAAGCAGAAUUAGCUGAAAAGCAAAUUCAGAUGAUCCCUGAACAUGCUUGGGAAUUCCCCAAAUGGAAUGAACACUGAAGGUUGAUGGGAAUCAAACCUGUAGAUCCUGGGAAAGAUUGCCAAGAUUGAAGAUCUGUACUAUAUUCCACAGAUGGAAACAAGAAAGAAAGAGAGAAGUUGUCUCUCUUUUUGAAGACUGACUUCAGGAAUGACCAGCAGGAUGAAUACAGAGAGGACUGGCGAGACUUACAUGAACUGAUGCUAAGUGAAAUGAGCAGAACCAGGAGAUCAUUAUACACUUCGACAAUGAUAUUGUAUGAGGACAUAUUUUGAUGGAAGUGGAUUUCUUUGACAAAGAGACCUAAGUUUCAAUUGAUAAAUGACGGACAUAAGCAGCUACACCCAAAGAACGAACACUGGGAAACGAAUGUGAACUAUCUGUAUUUUUGUUUUUCUUCCCGGGUUAUUUAUACCUUCUGAAUCCAAUUCUCCCUAUGCAACAAGAGAACUGUUCGGUUCUGCAAACAUAUAUUGUAUCUAGGAUAUACUGCAACAUAUCCAACAUAUAAAGGACUGCUUGCCAUCUAGGGGAGGGGGUGGAGGGAGGGAGGGGGAAAAAAAAUCGGAAAAGAAACGAGUGCAAGGAAUAAUGUUGUCAAUAUAAAGUAAUCAUUAAAUAAAAAAUAAAAAUUAAAAAAAAAAAAAAAGAAGACUGACUUCAGGAGAAUCAAGAGCCAUGGUACAUCAGAAAGAGUUAGGAUACAUGUUCUACGUAUAGAACCUACAGACGUAGAGAAUCCCAAUUUGGGGGGGGGGGGGAGUGGAUGUUGUAUCUGUGAAAGCUUGUUGAAAUAGGUACUUUGUUCUAAAAAGACUUGAAUAUUAUUUGCCUGGGUAUACUAAGAAAUUUUGUAGAACCUGCUAUAAGGAUUGUCUUUUAAAAACUCUUAAAAAAAAUGAGAAUCAGUUUGAAGAAUGGCUGACCAAGAAGUAUAUGGAUGUAAUGGAAUAUUAGUGUUCUUUAAGAAAAAUUUACCAGGCAGAUUUUGGAAAAAUUUAGGUAGUCUUAUAAGAACUGAUGCUGAAAUUAUAGACAUAAUUAAUAACUUCAUCCAAGAAAACGAUAAUAAUGAGACAUCAUACCAAAAUGUAUGGGAUGCAGCCAAAGCGGUAAUAAGGGGAAAUCUCAUAUCUCUAGAGGCCUAUUUGUAUAAAAUAGAGAAAGAGAAGGUCAAUGAAGAACUGAUGCUGAGUGAAGUGAGCAGAACUAGAACACUGUACAUAGUAACAGCAACAUUGUGCAAUCAUCAACUGACAGAUUUUGCUCUUUUUGAAUAAUACAAUGAUCCAAAACAGUUCCCAUAAAUUUGUGAUAGAAAAUCCUAUCCACAUCUAGAGAAAGAAAUAUGAAGACUGAAUGAAGAUUGAAACAUAGUAUUUUCAUCUUAUUUGUUUUUAUUUUUACCUGUUGCAGUUUUUUCUCUCUUCUUUCACAACAUGUCUAACGUGGAAAUGUUUAAUGAUUAUAUAUGUAUAACCUAUAUCAGAUUGUUUACUGCCUUAGGUAGGGGAGAAGGAAGGAAGGAAGGAAGGGCAGGAGAAAAACUAUUCUUAUUGUUCAAUAUCUUAUAAAAAUAAAUGUUGAUAUAUUGUAACAUUUAACAUGUAUUGGACUACCUGUCAUCUAGGAGACGGGAUAGGGGGAAGGAGAGGAAAAAUUGAAACAAGGUUUUGCAAGGGUCAAUGCUAGAAAAAUUACCCAUGCAUAUGUUUUGUAAACAAAAAGCCGUAAUAAAAUAAAAUUUAAAAAUAAAUGUUGAAAACUAUUGUUACAUAUAAUUGGAAAAAAUAAAAUAAAA